GUCAGAUUUUUCUUGCAAGGAAUUCCAGUCUGCUCGGUGUUGAGGUUUGUCUGCAGGCAGAUGUACCAAUCUCCAUCAAACAGAACCGUGGAUACCCAAACAGCGCUCAGAUGACGUCUGACUCCACCACGCAUUGCUCGGUGUACUCCUUCACCAGCUCCACGCCCAAGGUGUUGAGGCAGAAUUCGGCCAUGGGCUUCCAGAGCGGCGGGUCCAGGAACAUCUGGCACAUCACGUGACCCUUCAGGGUGGCGGUAUGGCGCUGCAGGUGGCACAAGAACUGCUGCCGAGCCAGGUCCAGGUCUUUCCCGAACAUGUCAAUAUUCAGGUAAUACCUGGUUAAACAAAAGUGUACCAGUGAAAAGAAUAUCUUAUUUUGAAAGUUAACACUCUUAAAUGUUAUGAGUAUCUUAAAGUCACUAUGUGUAGUAUCUAAUAAAUGUACAUCUCUGGUACCCACACUGGUACAAUCAAAAGAUGUACCAGCACACCACUA